AGAUGGCGACCGGCGCACGGGUGAGUAACACGUAUCCAACCUGCCGAUAACUCGGGGAUAGCCUUUCGAAAGAAAGAUUAAUACCCGAUGGCAUAGUUCUUCCGCAUGGUAGAACUAUUAAAGAAUUUCGGUCAUCGAUGGGGAUGCGUUCCAUUAGGUUGUUGGCGGGGUAACGGCCCACCAAGCCUUCGAUGGAUAGGGGUUCUGAGAGGAAGGUCCCCCACAUUGGAACUGGGACACGGUCCAA
rnacentral:rRNA from 1 species